UAUAAAUGCCAGUUAAAGCAAGAGCUCUUGUGUUUCUGUUCCUGUGGAGUGCAGCUGAAAUGACCGCUACUGCUCCUUUCACAGUAUAUUUACAUGAGCUUCCUGUGGACAUCAGCGCCAUUUAAAAUUAAGGCUGGAACACAGAUGUGGGGCUGGAAGUGGAGCAGCCCCUUUUAGCCAUGAGGCCCAAAGCCACAUGCUAAGGAUGGUGAAGCAGGGGAUAGAAAGAGCCUGUGUCUUUGCUGACUUCCUUAAGCCACGGCACCAGCCUGGGCCUGCCCUACUCUGGACAUCUAAAUGUCAGGAGCUAAGAAUCAAGUCAGUCUAGAGGUGUUCGUUGCCAUGUGGAGAGAUCCUUCCCAAGAAGAAAGAUGCUACAAAGUGUCCUGGAAAUCCUCUUUGCCCAUCCAGAUCCACCCUCCCUAGCCUGCUCUGUAACUCAGGAAGCUGCUUUUCAUGGUUCACAUAAACCAGGCUCCUGUACCCUCCAGAUAGGUCCAUCCUAUGGGUGGUACCAGCAGGAGACCAGAGAGAUGAAGGAGGGAAAAAAAGAACAUUAGGGGUUGAAUUGUAUCACCCCAAAAUUCAUAUGGUGAAGUAUAACCCCUUCGGAAUGUAACCUUAUUGGAAAUGUCAGAGGCACGUGAACCAGAGCAACUCCAUCUUGAAUAGGGGCUGGGUAAAAUG
rnacentral:antisense_RNA from 1 species